GUUGAGUAGAGGGGGGGAAAACCUAAGAUUAAUCAUCUAAAACUGUAGAUUGAGUUUCAAUUUAUGUUAAUGUUCACUUUUAAGAGAAUUUUAAUAGAUUCCCUUUAAUCUUAAUUGGGUUUAGAAAAAAAAAGUUAAUUUCUAGUUCACCAUGUUUGUUUUUAUAUUUCCAGUGGCAUGAAAUUAGUUGGAGAAAAAAGAAGAAACAUAAUUUUAAGGUUAUGUAUGUUGCCUUGCUCAUGAUUAUUGGAAUGAAUGAGUUCUUACAGCAGAAAAUGCUGUGAUGGACAUCUAUCAAAUGCGUUAGGUCAAAAAGCAAGCAUAUUCUGGUACAGCCACCCCGGAAAACAGUGUGGAGCUUCCUCAAGAAGUUAAAAAUAGAGCUACCUUAUGACCCAGCAAUUGUACUACUGGGUAUUUACCCCAAAGAUGCAGAUGUAGUGAAAUGCUGAGACACCUGCACCCCAAUGUUCAUAGCAGCAAUGUCCACAAUAGCCAAACUGUGGAAGGAGCCAUGAUGUCCUUUGACAGAUGAAUGGAUAAAGAAGAUGUGGUGUAUAUCUUCUGUGGUAUAUAUAUAUGAAUAUUACUCAGCCAUCAGAAAGGACUAAUACCCACCAUUUGCUUUGGCGUGGAUGGAACUGGAGGGUAUUAUGCUGAGUGAAAUAAGUCAGUUGGAGAAGGACAGUCAUCAUAUGGUUUCACUCAUAUGUGGACUAUAAGAAAUAGUGAAAGGAAUUAUAAGGGAAAGGAGAGGAACUGAGUGGGAAAAAUUAGAGAGGGAGACAAACCAUGAGACUCCUAACUCUGGGAAACAAACAAAGGGUUGCGGAAGGGGAGGUAAGUGGGGGGUGGGGUAAUUAGGUGACAGGCACUGAAGAAAGCACUUGAUGGGAUGAGUACUGGGUGUUAUAAUAUAUCUUGGUAAAUUGAACUUCAAUAAAAACAAAUGUUAAAAAAAAAGCUGUACUUUU
rnacentral:lncRNA from 1 species